AGUGACUGAGAGUGUAAUAAUAAACUUGAAAAGUGACCUGCAUUGUAAAUGUUUCUAAUAUCUAUAUAUAUAAAGUUGACUAUUCUGUCUUCUCCUGCGUCCACGACACCUUUUUGGGAGUGGGGUUUGACGACACCUGUCGACACCCUAUUGGUCCGUGUGAUUCACCUUUUUUGGGCGCGUGACAGGUUUAAUGAUAGACCUAUUGUGUUAAACACCGCGUUUUGAAUUGUGAUACCUAAGUUUCAUCUUCGUCGAUCUGGCUUCGUAUCGUCUUCUAUGGUUCUUCGCGAGACGGAACUAUCACCAUUAAUGGAGUUCGCCAUUAAUGCAUUCGAUUGGACUGUGUGAUACACUAUUCAUGCGCGCGUGUAGAGGUUUGAUGAUACAAUGAUGCCAGAGCAACGAGAUCUGGAGCAAUCAAGCGCAAAGCUAGGAGUAAGGUUCGCUGGGACCGCUACGGUGAAUGACAAUGACAGACGAAGGAGAAGGGAUAACAUCGUCACGAUUAUAAUGAAACAUGAACUCAACACUGGGAUACGAAUUUUUUUUAUGGAUCAACGGAAACUUUUUUUUACAGAUCAACGGAAAUUCGCAACCUAACCUCCUUGAGCUUGAAGCUCCAUCAAGAUCUACAGUAAUCAAUCUAUUUUCUUUUUUGAUUUUUUCUUUGUGUUUAUUUUUUUAGUUUUUGUUUGUUUUGGGAUCUGAGUUCUCCAUGAUCUGAGUUCUCAGACUUUGUAAGCGUUUUUUCUUAGAUCAUCCCCAAAAAGAAAGAGUUUUUAAUUUUACAUGUCUUGAGUAGGUUUUCUGAAACGUGAAUUGGUUGUAGCCAGAAUGUGAUCGUGUGUUUUGUCAAGUUCUAGACAAGGAAGAACAAAGAAUAAAAGUUUUUUUUUGGGUGGA